rnacentral:rRNA from 1 species
UCCUGGCUCAGGAUGAACGCUAGCUACAGGCUUAACACAUGCAAGUCGAGGGGAAACGACAUCGAAAGCUUGCUUUUGAUGGGCGUCGACCGGCGCACGGGUGAGUAACGCGUAUCCAACCUGCCCACCACUUGGGGAUAACCUUGCGAAAGUAAGACUAAUACCCAAUGACGUCUCUAGAAGACAUCUGAAAGAGAUUAAAGAUUUAUCGGUGAUGGAUGGGGAUGCGUCUGAUUAGCUUGUUGGCGGGGUAACGGCCACCAAGGCAACGAUCAGUAGGGGUUCUGAGAGGAAGGUCCCCCACAUUGGAGCUGAGACACGGUCCAAACUCCUACGGGAGGCAGCAGUGAGGAAUAUUGGUCAAUGGGCGAGAGCCUGAACCAGCCAAGUAGCGUGCAGGACGACGGCCCUAUGGGUUGUAAACUGCUUUUAUAAGGGAAUAAAGUGAGUCUCGUGAGACUUUUUGCAUGUACCUUAUGAAUAAGGACCGGCUAAUUCCGUG